CUGGCUCCAGACUUGAUCCACUUUCCAGAUCCAGCUCAGAUGUCAUGUCCUCUGAGGAGCUUUCCCAGUUUUGCAGACUGAAAGGACCACUCCUCCCUCUGUGGCCCCCUAAGACUUAGGAUAUCUCUUUACUUCUGUGUUUAUCUUACUCGACACUGAUCUUUGGCUUUUGUUCCUCUUUCUAGACUGUGGCUAUCUCUCUGUCCCUAGUAUUUGGCAAAGAGCUUGGCACACAACAGGUAGUCAGCAUGUUGGCCUGCUAUUGCAGAAACCCACUGAUGUUUUGUCUAUUCCCCUAAGCCAAACCUUGCAACGGUUUAAGUAUUGGUUUACAACAUACCCUCCAAGGAUGUGGUGAGACGGGCAUCUGGCAGAGUCUGGCUGUGGCUCCUGGUGGCUGGAUAGGAGUUUCCAGAAGAAGCAGCCCCAGGCUGGACAAAGUCCUGGUGUCCUGGGGUCUGCUGGGAUGGAGGAGACCCUGGUUCUGGGCAGCCGUUGAUCAGCACGAUGGGGACGCUUGGCCAAGGCUGUGGAGGCUGGAGGAAGAGCUGGCUGGGCUUUCCAAGGAUCUAGAAGAUGACUGAUGGCGGGAGACGCUGGAGUGGAGGAGGGACUGGCUGCUGCAAGGAGGACACCAGACAGACAGGGUGUUAGGAUGUCAGAGUGGACACUCAGGGGCCUAGAAUUCUGGUUAAAUAGAGUACUGCAUACUCCACCCCCAUAGCCCAGGACAAAGCACAUGUCCACCUGAUCCUCAAGGGAUGCUGAAGGAUGCAAAAAUAUCCCUGCACUGCAGAGUCUUUGGUCACUUAAAGUAACCAGUCAGCUGAUCCCCUGAAGUCUUGUGGGCUUGGGCUGGACCAGAUUCCCUCUGCCUUCCCAGCCAGGCAGGUCUGACAGAGCUACCACAGACGCACUCCCAUAUUCCCAAGAGGACCGCACAUAGGCUGGACCCAGGCUGGACCGUGUCUACGACAGAUGCAGAGGGAACUCCCCAGCUGGAGGAAGAUGAGGAGACCUGCUCUGCAUCCAACCCGACUUCUCUCUGAGCUCUGAGUCCCAUGCCAAUGGCCACGGCUGUGGAAUCGCAGCCUCCUUGCCAAUGACUGACUUGGCACAGCAGCUUUGGAGUCGGUGUGGGGGACAGAGGUCCUGAGGUUUGGUCCUUCUGGGCAGGGUGUGUGUGCGGCUCCACUGUGAGGUCUGCACACCGGCUGGGGCAAUUAUGAAUAAUGCCCAGGCAGGUCUCCCUCCCCCCUCCUAAGUUUUGCUAGCAAUAAAGAGGAGGGAGGCUUUUCUUUCCUAAGUGGCUUUCCCUAAGCCCCAAAAUUUGAUUUACGCCCCUGUGUUUUGAGGUUGGAAAAAAAUCUUUUCCUUGAGAUGGGUUAUAUGAAUGCCUCAUGAAUGUAACAGUUCUUUUCCCAAGAAGUAGGCAUAAAUAAAAAUUUUUGUAUAUUGACUUA